rnacentral:rRNA from 1 species
GGGUGAGGAAUACAUCGGAAUCUGCCUUAUCGUGGGGGAUAACGUAGGGAAACUUACGCUAAUACCGCAUACGACCUACGGGUGAAAGCGGGGGAUCGCAAGACCUCGCGCGAUAAGAUGAGCCGAUGUCGGAUUAGCUAGUUGGCGGGGUAAAGGCCCACCAAGGCGACGAUCCGUAGCUGGUCUGAGAGGAUGAUCAGCCACACUGGAACUGAGACACGGUCCAGACUCCUACGGGAGGCAGCAGUGGGGAAUAUUGGACAAUGGGCGCAAGCCUGAUCCAGCCAUGCCGCGUGGGUGAAGAAGGCCUUCGGGUUGUAAAGCCCUUUUGUCCGGAAAGAAAAGCACUGGAUUAAUACUUCGGUGUUCUGACGGUACCGGAAGAAUAAGCACCGGCUAACUUCGUGCCAGCAGCCGCGGUAAUACGAAGGGUGCAAGCGUUACUCGGAAUUACUGGGCGUAAAGCGUGCGUAGGUGGUUCGUUAAGUCUGAUGUGAAAGCCCUGGGCUCAACCUGGGAAUUGCACUGGAUACUGGCGGGCUAGAGUGCGGUAGAGGAUGGCGGAAUUCCCGGUGUAGCAGUGAAAUGCGUAGAGAUCGGGAGGAACAUCUGUGGCGAAGGCGGCCAUCUGGACCAGCACUGACACUGAGGCACGAAAGCGUGGGGAGCAAACAGG